rfam:Globodera pallida, Lindley, WGS project CBXT01000000 data, contig: pathogens_Gpal_scaffold_467_contig_5
GCUCCGUUGGCCCAGUGGCAAGGCGUCUGUCUAGUAAACAGAAGAUCGCUGGUUCGAUUCCAGCACGGAGCA